UGGCCCUUCCAGAUGGUUCCCUCCACAAGACUCAAGUUUAAAUGUAUUAAGUUUUAGUAAGUUUAUUACGGAUAGUCGAACUCUUUGAUCCAAAGAAAUUGAAGUAUGAGCUAUAGCUUCAACUAGACUGUAUAUAGUACAGGCCACAA